AGAGUUUGAUCAUGGCUCAGAACGAACGUUGGCGGCGUGGAUUAGGCAUGCAAGUCGAACGAGAACCAGCCUUGGAGCAAUACCGGGCUGGGGAAAGUGGCGAAAGGGGCAGUAAUGCGUGGGUAACGUACCCCGGGGAUGGGCAUAGCUACGGGAAACCGUAGGUAAUUCCCAGCGAUCUGGCCGAGGGGCAUCUCUUGACCAGGAAACGAAUUUCGCCUCGGGAGCGGCUCACGUCGUAUUAGCUUGUUGGUGGGGUAACGGCCCACCAAGGCAAAGAUGCGUAGCGGGUGUGAGAGCACGACCCGCGCCACUGGCACUGAGACACUGGCCAGACACCUACGGGUGGCUGCAGUCGAGGAUCUUCGGCAAUGAGCGCAAGCUUGACCGAGCGACGCCGCGUGCGGGAUGAAGGCCUUCGGGUUGUAAACCGCUGUCGAGGGGGAGGAAGCUGGCGUAAGCCAGUUGACCUAUCCCUGGAGGAAGCACGGGCUAAGUUCGUGCCAGCAGCCGGGGUAAGACGAACCGUGCGAACGUUGUUCGGAUUCACUGGGCUUAAAGGGCGCGUAGGCGGAUUCGCAAGUCCGGGGUGAAAUCUUUCGGCUCAACCGGAAAAGUGCCUUGGAUACUGCGAGUCUCGAGGGAGACAGGGGCCGCGGGAACUUCCGGUGGAGCGGUGAAAUGCGUUGAUAUCGGAAGGAACGCCGGUGGCGAAAGCGCGCGGCUGGAUCUCUUCUGACGCUGAGGCGCGAAAGCUAGGGGAGCAAACGGGAUUAGAUACCCUAGUAGUCC
rnacentral:rRNA from 1 species